rnacentral:misc_RNA from 1 species
GUAGGUGAACCUGCGGAAGGAUCAUUACCGAACUGUCGACACGAGUUGUUGCUGGUCCUCGAAUGGGGGCAUGUGCACGCUCUGUUUACACAUCCACUCACACCUGUGCACCCACCGUAGUUCUAUGGCCUGGGGGGGCUCUGUCCCUCUUGCUGUGGUUCUAUGUCUUUACACACACACACAAAGUAACAAAGUUUUACGGAAUGCAUUGUGCGUUUAACGCAAUACAAUACAACUUUCAGCAACGGAUCUCUUGGCUCUC